AUUGAACGCUGGCGGCAGGCCUAACACAUGCCAGUCGAGCGGAUGAAGGGAGCUUGCUCCUGGAUUCAGCGGCGGACGGGUGAGUAAUGCCUAGGAAUCUGCCUGGUAGUGGGGGAUAACGUCCGGAAACGGGCGCUAAUACCGCAUACGUCCUGAGGGAGAAAGUGGGGGAUCUUCGGACCUCACGCUAUCAGAUGAGCCUAGGUCGGAUUAGCUAGUUGGUGGGGUAAAGGCCUACCAAGGCGACGAUCCGUAACUGGUCUGAGAGGAUGAUCAGUCACACUGGAACUGAGACACGGUCCAGACUCCUACGGGAGGCAGCAGUGGGGAAUAUUGGACAAUGGGCGAAAGCCUGAUCCAGCCAUGCCGCGUGUGUGAAGAAGGUCUUCGGAUUGUAAAGCACUUUAAGUUGGGAGGAAGGGCAGUAAGUUAAUACCUUGCUGUUUUAACGUUACCAACAGAAUAAGCACCGGCUAACUUCGUG
rnacentral:rRNA from 1 species